AUGAGAUUACUGCAGAGCUUCACGGUGUCUUACUCUGCUAUCACAUGCCACAGGAUACGAGGGGCCCUCUGAGGGUCACGCUCCUGUAACCAUUUCUCUCUUAUGCAGCAUUCCGGCGUUGGCACCAAAAGAAGGGCACUGAUUACAUGCAGCAUAGUGACAUCUGGUGAACUUGCAACACAAACAUCUUGUGGCAACUGUACAGCAGUUUCUUUUGAACAGUAUUGCUGCUGACAAGAUGACUCUUGCAUAUGCUGUUAU